AUACGGAGGGCGCGAGCGUUAAUCGGAAUUACUGGGCGUAAAGCGCGCGUAGGCGGUUUGUUAAGUCGGAUGUGAAAUCCCCGGGCUCAACCUGGGACCUGCAUCCGAUACUGGCAGGCUAGAGUCUGGUAGAGGGGGGUAGAAUUCCUGGUGUAGCGGUGGAAUGCGUAGAUAUCAGGAGGAAUACCAGUGGCGAAGGCGGCCCCCUGGACUGAGACUGACGCUGCGGUGCGAAAGCGUGGGGAGCAAACAGGAUUAGAAACCCGAGUAGUCC
rnacentral:rRNA from 1 species